rnacentral:antisense_RNA from 1 species
UUUCAUGGCGGGCCGGGCAGGGAGAUCUUCGGGUCUGCCGGCUUCCUGUGAGGCCGGUCUGCUACCCCCGCCGUCAGGCCCGCCACCCGU